UCAGCUGAAAAUAGGUGGCAUGAUAUAGAGUAACUUUAGAGAGAAACUGCCGGCCAAUUUCAAAAGCUAUCACUCCGCAAACGUCUACCACCCAGUGUGACUUCGUGGUCCCUAUACAAUUACUUACUUCUGGUAACCAUUUUCGCUCAGAAAAAAAAAGAAAAGAAAAACUGACUUUGUACAUGCGUAAGUCACAAUUGCAUUUUUUUUAUUGUGUCUGUAUUUCUUCGAAAAACAAUGAUCGCGUAUUUGCUAAUGCGUUGGCUUUAUCGUUUUAUUACUUGGUAGUGAUAUUACAACGUUAAUAAUUCAAACCCACGUUUCAAAAGAUUUUGCUUUCUUAUAAGCACUGAAUGUCAGACUAAGUCUACUAUCGCCUGCUAUUUGUUUUGAAGCAAUUCAAAAAUAACAUAGCACGCACUCUAAAAAUUGUAACUAAAUAAACUGAUGUCAGAAGUAGGAAGAUAAAAAGCUAACACGCUCUUCAUCAGUCAACAACAGAUGGCUGCCAGUCUUAAAAUAAUCUGUAUUUGAAGUUGAUCUGGAAUAACAUCAAGCCUAUCUGCCUGUAAAUAACGCACAGCUCCCUGCUGUGGAUUCUCAUUUCUGUUAUUCAUCUUUGGCAUAAAGGGGCCGACAUUUUGUUUGCAGUAUCAUUAUAAAGGGAAAGCAAAUUAACAGAGAGUUUGUUUGAUGGUUGAUCGGGAUGGGUAAAGAAAAGAAAUGGCGACCAAUGGAGAAACUGCGGAUCUAAAUUAAUGUUAUUCAAAUAUUGCUUUGAAGCAGAUGUUAAAAGAAAUAGCUUCCUUAUUUUUCUUCACAGUGAAACCUUUAACUUCUUUUAGAGAACCCAUCUUCAGCCAAAUAAACUUUUAAGAUGAGCUGAGCAACUUGGGAAUUUUCAACCACAACCAGUUUCACCAGACCACUCUGAGAUCGGGACAAUCCACAUUUAUAACAUUGUAGAGGUCACCUUAAUCGUUCAAUGAGAGAAAUGGGGACAUAUAUAAAGCCGUUGGAGCGAGUCAUUCAUCAAGGCGCAUAUCGUGUCAAGUAUCAAAGUGUAGUAAAGUCAUCGAGUCAGUUGAAUUCAAGUGAGUGAGAAUGGCAAUUAAGAUGACAACCUUAGUUCUCAUCGCUGUAGCUCUGUUACUCAUGAUAUUCGAGGGUGAGGGUUUCACUGGAACAAUUCCAGGGAAAAGGAAUGCCGCUCUGGGUUCUUCGCAGAACUACAAACGGAGUUUGUGCGCCGCCGCCCGCAGUCUUGGUUGCAAAACUGAAGACGAACCGAUGAUGAAGAGAGUCGGGUAUUCAAUGGACUUAGUCUGAUUCUUCGAUAUCGUAAAAUCAGAAGGAACAAGAUAAAAGAGUAAUGAUGGAAAUAAAAUGAUUUCAAAUGUUAA